UGGGGAAUCUUGCGCAAUGCGCGAAAGCGUGACGCAGCAACGCCGCGUGAGGGAAGACGGCCUUCGGGUUGUAAACCUCUUUCAGGAGGGACGAAGGUUCAGGCGCGAAUAGCGUCCUGGACUGACGGUACCUCCAGAAGAAGCUCCGGCUAACUACGUGC
rnacentral:rRNA from 1 species